rnacentral:rRNA from 1 species
CCCGCAGUGGCGCAGCUAACGCAUUAAGCUUCCCGCCUGGGGAGUACGGUCGCAAGAUUAAAACUCAAAGGAAUUGACGGGGGCCCGCACAAGCGGUGGAGCAUGUGGUUUAAUUCUAAGCAACGCGAAGAACCUUACCAAUCCUUGACAUACCGAUCGCGGUUUCUGGAGACAGAGACUUUCAAUUAGGCUGGAUCGGAUACAGGUGUUGCAUGGCUGUCGGCAGCUCGUGUCGUAGGAUGUUGGGUUAAGUCCCGCAACGAGCGCAACCCUCGCCCUUAGUUGCCAGCAUUUAAUUGGGCACUCUAGGGGGACUGCCGGUGAUAAGCCGGAGGAAGGUGGGGAUGAGGUCAAGUCAUCAUGACCCUUAUGGAUUGGGCUACACACGUGCUACAAUGGCGGUGACAGAGGGCAGCUACUUCGCGAGAAGGUGCUAAUCCCUAAAAACCGUCUCAUUUCAGAUAGUACUCUGCAACUCGAGUGCUUGAAGUUGGAAUCGCUAGUAAUCGUGGAUCAGCAUGCCACGGUGAAUACGUUCCCGGGCCUUGUACACACCGCCCGUCACACCAUGGGAGUUGGUUCUACCCGAAGCCGGUGCGCUAACUUUUGAGGCAGCCGACCACGGUAGGGUCAGCGACUGGGGUGAAGUCGUAACAAG